GAACUGAUAUAUUUAGGCAGUGGCUAGAUGCGAGACACUACACUUGCAGUGUUGCCCAUCCACCCUCCUCAUCUGACCAAAAAAAAAGACUCUGAGGUGUGUUGAGAAGGUGCAACCAGACUUGCUGAGCUCCAAAGAAUCAUAGGAUCCCUACAGUAAACAUAGAGGCCAUUCAGCCCAUUGGGUCUGCACCAGCCCUCUGAAGAACAUCCCAGUCUCUCCAGGAUGACUGUACACUACAGAGGAUUUACACAGCGAGGGCAAGGCAUGCUUUGGAAUGAGGUGGUUGCUUCAGACCUGGCAAUGGAGCAGUUCAAUAAACUUUCUGAACUUAUGUUGUAAGCUACAGAAUUGUAUCUGAUCAUGAAAC